rnacentral:rRNA from 1 species
UCGACGAUGAUCCGGUGCUUGCACCGGGGAUUAGUGGCGAACGGGUGAGUAACACGUGAGUAACCUGCCCUUAACUCUGGGAUAAGCCUGGGAAACUGGGUCUAAUACCGGAUAUGACUGAUCAUCGCAUGGUGGUUGGUGGAAAGCUUUUUGUGGUUUUGGAUGGACUCGCGGCCUAUCAGCUUGUUGGUGAGGUAAUGGCUUACCAAGGCGACGACGGGUAGCCGGCCUGAGAGGGUGACCGGCCACACUGGGACUGAGACACGGCCCAGACUCCUACGGGAGGCAGCAGUGGGGAAUAUUGCACAAUGGGCGCAAGCCUGAUGCAGCGACGCCGCGUGAGGGAUGACGGCCUUCGGGUUGUAAACCUCUUUCAGUAGGGAAGAAGCGAAAGUGACGGUACCUGCAGAAGAAGCGCCGGCUAACUACGUGCCAGCAGCCGCGGUAAUACGUAGGGCGCAAGCGUUAUCCGGAAUUAUUGGGCGUAAAGAGCUCGUAGGCGGUUUGUCGCGUCUGCCGUGAAAGUCCGGGGCUCAACUCCGGAUC